rnacentral:sRNA from 1 species
AAAGUUUCUAGGCUGAACGUUUGGUCCGAUCAACGAACGCUGGUGCGUGAAUCGAAUGGCCAAUGAC